rnacentral:rRNA from 1 species
AACGAACGCUGGCGGCAGGCUUAACACAUGCAAGUCGAGCGCGGUCUUUCGGGACUGAGCGGCGGACGGGUGAGUAACGCGUGGGAACGUGCCCUUUUCUCUGGAAUAGCCUCUGGAAACGGAGAUUAAUGCCGGAUACGCCCGGAUCGUAGCGAUACGGUUCGGGGAAAGAUUUAUCGGGGAAGGAUCGGCCCGCGUUGGAUUAGGUAGUUGGUGGGGUAACGGCCUACCAAGCCGACGAUCCAUAGCUGGUUUGAGAGGAUGAUCAGCCACACUGGGACUGAGACACGGCCCAGACUCCUACGGGUGGCUG